rnacentral:lncRNA from 1 species
GAAACAUUGACCACCGAGUGGACUGUUCCUUCUGAUUCUAGAGUCUUAUAAGCUACUAAGUCCAAGCGGUGGUAGAAGGAAAAUCAAGAGAAAUCCACAGCCAAUAAUUUGCUGAGUCAAGCGGUGGAAGUGAGGAAACAAAUAGAAAGUGGCUUGCUAAGUUGGGCGGUGGCUGAGUGGAGAAGCGAGGCUUCAAUUCUUUUCUUACCAACCAAACACCAAGAGCAAAACUGAGAGAGACUAAGCCAUUUCUUUUCAUCUCAAGACACAACUAAGAGAUAGGAAAAUAUUUCUGGUUCCUCCUUGUUCCAGUUUCCAACCGAGAGAGUGAGGGAGAGAGUUAGACAUUUGCUAGCUUUAUUUCUCCAGCUUGCAACCUCAAAACCGUGAGCCAAAGUGAGUGAGAGGGAGAGAAAUCCUAGUGGUAUACUUCACCUAAUGGCCUCAAUCGAAUGAGAGUGGAGUAGCUAGAAGAAAGAGUGAGAGUUGGUGCAAUUUUGAGGAACCGAAGCUCAACUUGGACCCGCCUGCACUCGCUGAAUUCUAGAGAAAAGGAGUUCUUGUCCUUAGUUUAGCUACCCGAGAGACAUUAGGAGGAAAAGGAGAGAAAGACCAAAAGAAAGAAACAACAACAACAACUAGGAACUCAUUUCUGGCCUCCUUCAACCGUGAGAACCAGCUACAAAGAAAGAAGGAAUGCAGUCUAUCGAGCUAAGAUAGGAGAGAGAAACCAGAACUUUAUUUUCCUAACUUAGAGCCAUAAGAACCAGAGGUAAACUACUAUCUUUCUCUUCCAUUUCUUCUACGUUUAGCUAGUAGUCUUUUAGAUUGAGUUGGAACCAAGAUAAAGAAAACUUUCUGGAAAACAAAGGUUGUCAAAGCUGGGAAUGUUCGUUUGAAGCUGCAUGUUCUCACUCUAAUGUUUAUAUGAUUGCAAGUCAGAUUUGAGUGUAAAAUGAAGAGAUUAUUAGAGGAAAUUUCAUACUUUUAAACUGCUAGCUGCUGAAACUCCUUCAUCUUGGCCGAGAGAACAAAAGAGAGUAUUCACCAACUUUUCUCUUCAAACCUCGGCUGUAAAUUCUAUAUUGUGAUUCAAAACACCUCAUAGAAUAAAAAUUAUCACCUGGAUAUUAAGUUUGAAUGAGGAAAAUAAAGAAUUUUAUGGAGAAAACUUGUUUUCCAAACUACCUACUUGCUGGAAUUUUUCAACCUCAGCCGAGAGAGAUGAAAGGGAUUUUUUUCUGAUAUUUCUCUAUAGAUUUUGGGCUGUAAACUUUCAUAUUAAGGUUGAUUACACCUUAUAAUAUCAUUAGAUGGUCAUGUAUGUGAAUUUUGGGGUGAAAAUGUGAUUUUUAUGGCUGGAUUCUUGUUUGAAAGACUGUUAGGCUAAUAAACCAUUUACAGUUUAGUCAAUGGAAUUUCUUGGCAUUUGAAUGGAUAUUUUAGUAUAAAAUUUGCUGGAAAUGCUUGAUUUGUACUUCUUGGUGUAUUAUGAGUUUGUUGGUGAGUGAUUGGUGGUUGGAAAUAAAAUCUAAAUAGUUAAAAUGGAAGGAAAAGUUUGCUAUACCAACUAUAGGAAUCAAAGGAGCCUUGUAAGUUAUAUAAGAAGAUAUCCAUUUAUUACUUGGUUUAAUAGGCUCUAUAUAAAUUGUAUACAUAUCUUAAGGUAAUAAACUAGUUAAGCAUGUGGUCUUGGUUAAUAAAAGAUAGAAUUAUGUGACAAGAAAGUACUUUAAGGUUAGCUACUUCUAAACUUACCUUGUUAAACGUUGAUGUUGAGUUUUAGUACGAUAAAUCUAACAGUAUAAAAGUAGUGAAGUGACAUUACUGGAAUUGCUACUUAAACUUCCUUUAUUUUGGAGAUUAAAAGUCGAAGUAACAAGUGAGUGUGAGAAAAUGUACUAGUUGCCUCAUUUAAACAUAGCAAUGACUUAGAUUUCGGGUGGAAUGUAACUUAAGGCUAGAAUACAACACGUAUGUUGAUUAUACUUUAGAACUUCACCAAAUGAGUAGUUAAAUAAUUAUGGCAAUUAUAACUUGUCUCAGGAGACAGCGGUGUGCAAGAAAGCAAUUCUGAGAUUGAAGUGUAACUUUUGAUUAGGGUGAGUGUUUCCGGAUUUAAGUGUUUAAUUGUUUAUGUUUGCUUAAGUGAAAUUAUUUGAUAAAUAUGCUUGUUAUGAAUUAUUGCUAAGUGAUUCAUUGUAAAGUGUAUCUCAAUUGUCCCUCACCUUCUAAGUCGAGGGUGUACUUUAUCGCACUCGGCUUAGUUGAGUUUGAAGGUUGAUAAUUGACUAAAUGUUAUUGUAAGUGUGCAUGAAUAUAAGCCGUAUGUGUACUUUACCGCAUCGGCUGAACUGGGCCCCAAAGGGCUUGGUCGGAUAGGAUGGAAGCUUUGGGUAAUUGUUUCGGUAUACUCGAGUAUUACCCUGAAGUUGGGAGAUUAUUGAACUGAUUACUGGAUGUAGGGGAUUGUUUAUUGUUUUGGAGGACAUAAGGAGGUGAUUUGGCGGAGUGUGCAAUGAUAUUGAAAUGAAUGUACAAUGACACUGAAAUGAGUGUGCAAUGAUAUUGAAAUGACAUUGAAUUACUGAACGAAACUAAGUGCUACGUCUGGAACGGACGGGAGCCACCUCUAGAGUCCGUAUCAGUAUCGUAUCAUUUGAGGUGAUUGAUUACUUUUAUUAAAUUUGAUAUCCUAAAUUGUUAAGUUUGGUGAAUGUUUUAUACUGCUAAUUGGUUGUUGUAUCCUUUUGAAAGUGACUAUACAGUGAAAUGUGCAUUACUUACUUAAUUUUACUGGUUAAGUGUUUAUUGAAUGUUACUUGUUCGGCAAACCUCACUGAGUUUUAGCUCAACCCUUUAGUUUUAUUUUCCUUACAGAAGUUGGUGGUCAGGGAAUGAAUGAGGUAUCUUAGGGAGUUAACGUGAAGACUUUUGUGAUUGUAAAUCCUUUAAUAUCAUAUUAUGGUUGAGGCUAUUAUACUUGGUAUUGUAAAAGAUUUGAGCGUAUGGUUUUGGUUUAUCAAAAUGUUAUCUCUAAAGUUAAUAUAAGUAAGUGAACCCUGGCGAGAGAGGAAUUCAGGCGGUCCGCUAACUUCUAGGGUAUGCCCUAGGAGGAGGUGGGGCCGUCAUACGGAUGACUAAACAUGUGAAGAGAAAUAUAUAGUGAAAUACCUAACCUUAUCUAAUCACCAAAUUCUUGGAACAUCUGAAUCACCCACCAAAUCCUUGGAAUAUCUGAAUCACCAAAUCACAUAUAUAAGAGUCGUCGACAUAUAUAAAAGUCAUUGGAAUAUCUAAAUCACCAAAUCACCGUCGACAUAUAUAAAAGUCAUUGGAAUAUCUAAAUCACCAAAUCCCCGUUGACAUAUAUGAAAGCUAUUGGAGUCACCAACAUCUGAAUCAUCGAAUCCUUGAAAUCUAUCACCAAAUCCUUGCAAUUGCAAUCGAUUACCUAUGAAGACAUAAAGCUUGUUCACGUCCUGUUUUAUACGUAUCAAACUAAAUCUGGAUCUAUUUAAUCUACAAUUUAUACUGAGAUUUGUUAGUGAUAAAUGAAUUUCUGUGACUGCAUAGGGUCAACAAUAAAUUAUCUGGAGUAUUCCAGGGUCAAAUCCAUAGAGACGAAUUAAUUUUCUACUUUAAUUAUUCUAACAAAACUAACAAAAUUUGAACUCAAAGAGUGUUUUAAUCACUACUUGAGAAAUUAAAUAAAUAAUUAAAUCAAACAAGAUAUAAGCGAUAAAAUAGUUGGAAAAUACUAGGAUUUUAAAUUUUGAUCCAGAGUUUGAGUUAAUUAUCUAGUUAAUUUUUUAACAUACAAAAAAAUAUACCAUACGCAACUACCUUAGAUUAUCUUUCAAUACAUCUAAGUUGUCCAAAAAAAAUAAUCAUAGGUAUCUCCAGUCCUAUUCCCUAAUUUUCACCAACUUUUCAUGUGUUUCAGAUCAUGGCUCUAAUGUUAAUUUGGUGAGCAAAGUAACAUUGCAAGUAGUUUAAAGUUUGUCAAUUGAGUGGUCAAUGGGAACCGAUAAGAGGAACUAGAUACAUAAAUUUUCAGAAAAUUAAAACUA